rnacentral:rRNA from 1 species
AUUGAACGCUGGCGGCAGGCCUAACACAUGCAAGUCGAACGAGUGGCGGACGGGUGAGUAAUGUCUGGGAAACUGCCUGAUGGAGGGGGAUAACUACUGGAAACGGUAGCUAAUACCGCAUACCAUCGGAUGUGCCCAGAUGGGCUUAGCUAGUAGGUGGGGUAAAGGCUCACCUAGGCGACGAUCCAUAGCUGGGCUGAGGGUAUGACCAGCCACACUGGAACUGAGACACGGUCCAGAUGCCUACGGGAGGCAGCAGUGGGGAACAUUGAACAAUGGGCGCAAUCCUGAGGCAGCCAUGCCGCGUGUAUGAAGAAGGCCGUCGGGUGGUAAAGUACUUUCAGCGGGGAGGCGUUACCCGCAGAAGAAGCACCGGCUAACUCCGUGCCAGCCGCCGCGGUAAUAC